rnacentral:rRNA from 1 species
CCUACGGGCGGCUGCAGUGGGGAAUUUUGGACAAUGGGGGCAACCCUGAUCCAGCCAUGCCGCGUGCGGGAAGAAGGCCUUCGGGUUGUAAACCGCUUUUGUCAGGGAAGAAAUCUUCCGAGCUAAUACCUUGGGAGGAUGACGGUACCUGAAGAAUAAGCACCGGCUAACUACGUGCCAGCAGCCGCGGUAAUACGUAGGGUGCAAGCGGGAAUCGGAGUUACUGGGCGUAAAGCGUGCGGACGCGUUUGAAAGCCCCGGGCUUAACCUGGGAACUGCACGUGUGACUGUAAGGCUGGAGUACGGCAGAGGGGGAUGGAAUUCCGCGUGUAGCAGUGAAAUGCGUAGAUAUGCGGAGGAACACCGAUGGCGAAGGCAGUCCCCUGGGCCUGUACUGACGCUCAUGCACGAAAGCGUGGGGAGCAAACAGGAUUAGAUACCCGUGUAGUC